UACGGGGGGGGCAAGCGUUGUUCGGAAUUACUGGGCGUAAAGUGCUCGUAGGCGGCCAACUAAGUCAGACGUGAAAUCCCUCGGCUUAACCGGGGAACUGCGUCUGAUACUGGAUGGCUUGAAUCCGGGAGAGGGAUGCGGAAUUCCAGGUGUAGCGGUGAAAUGCGUAGAUAUCUGGAGGAACACCGGUGGCGAAGGCGGCAUCCUGGACCGGCAUUGACGCUGAGGAGCGAAAGCCAGGGGAGCAAACGGG
rnacentral:rRNA from 1 species